rnacentral:rRNA from 1 species
UUGAAAGGGAAACGAUUGAAGUCAGUCGUACCGGCGGGUAAUCAGCCUUUCGGGUAUGAUUCUGUGGAGCGUGAGGAGUUAAACGCCUUCAUGCCUGCAUAUUCGUGCUCUUGGGUGUACUUGCUCGUGUGGUUGGUUAACAUCAAUUUCGGUUAUCAUAAAAUGGCUGGAGGAAUGUAGCUUCGAUCUCGUAUUGAAGUGUUAUAGCCUUCGGCAGAUGUGAUGAUUGGGACCGAGGAUUGCAACGGAUACCCUUCGGGGCUACCUGUCUGAUUUCUGAUCGUUGCUCUGGUGCCGAAAGCUUGCUUACGGUUAUCAAAGUCGAUGGUCAAUAGGUUAGAAUGGGUUAAAUUCGUUAAGGAUGUUGACGUA